GUCAAAUUAAAUUCACAAGUUAUGUUAAUACUUAUAUUCCUUGAGGCACAGGUCAAGGAGGAAGCAGCUGUUUUCAACUAUAGCCUACAUUUACAUUUGUAAUUUAGCUGACUUUAUCCAUGAAGACAACAAGAAUCAAGAAAGUAGAUUUUUUUCAAGAAAGCCAAACUACACAAGUUCUAUAAGUAUGUGGCGUGGUCUGGAUGUAGACUGGAUUGAUCUGUUCACUGCACGGUACACAAAUACUAGUGUUUUGAAACGGAUGCGGGCAGCCACGGAGCGGACAAGCGGAGUAGUGUCUGUGAAUUUGGGUUGGUUGAAGAACAGUCAAGCUGCUGCAUUUUGGAUGAGUGCCCAAAACAACCUGGAGCUCAACGCUGUGAAGACUGUGGAGAUGGUAGUGGAUUUCCGGAAGAACGCAGCCCCACCCUGAAGAGAGAUAGAAAGAUUGUAUCCCACCCAUCUCAUCCUGGACAAAAUCGGUUUGUGCCCCUUCCAUCUGGCACGAGGCUGAGGUCCAUCAGCACUAAGACCUCUUGCCACCGAAAUAGUUUCUUACCAUUAGCAGUCUGGCUCAGUGACUGACGGACUCUGACAUCCCUUUUUCCUCCGGUCACUCCCUUCACACUAAUGGCUAAUAAUAAAAUGUGCAUGUUCAAAUAAAGUGCUCAAAUUCCAAAAAAAUAAAAUUCUGAGGGCUGACUUUCAUAACCUACAGUAGACUGUUGUAGGUCUUGGUUUGUUGAGCUUGUGGAGAGCAUCUACGCAGCCAUUGUGAUUUUGGAUCCUCAGGCUCUCAACGACCAUCCAUUGGUUGCAUACACAGUGGGAGGGAAGUUGCUGGUGACUCAAAGUGUGCCUGCUCCAUUGAAGUGACACAGAAUGGCUGGAAUACUGCUGCUGGUGAAAAUCUCCAAGAAUGUCCCGUAAAGUGGCACUUCCUGAAGUACCUGAAUCAGUUCAACAGUUGUAAAACAUUCUUCAGGAAAGUCUUGCAAUGCAAGUCUUUUGCUGAAGAGAGCAAAGUGAGGUGAGAUUAACCAUGUCCCUGACCAUCCAGAAAACCAUAAUGAUGACUCACUGGAGGAUGAAAGACUGGCUCUGGUUGAGGAGUUCAAGAAGAAGAAUACGAAUGUUGCACUCAGACAAAAGAUGGAGCUGACUUUCUCUUUGAGGCGCAAUGACAUCGUAGAGCUGCAGCCUAUGGUGUCAGAGGUUCUGGAACGGUGGCCUGCUCUGUUUAGUGAGGCAGAGAUCCUGUCAUCAACAAGAAAUCACCUCAUUCUCUUCACCUGGUCCUCAUGCCCUUCCCACCUGCAACCCAUUCCCUCAUUAGCCCCUCACUAUAUAAGUCCCCACACUUCCACUUGUCCUCUGCCAGAUUGUCUUGUGUGUAUGCAAAGUUUUCCAGCGUUUUCCGAUUACCUAUAUCCCGUCCUGACCUGAUACUAAUUAACACUUUCAAAAAGAAAAGUUAAAUAUGUUCUGCAAUAAUAUUGGCAUGUUAUGCAAUUCAUCCUCAAAACACAGCUGUUGCUUGUCAGAUGCAAUUAAAUGGACGGUAAUAAAAUGCCAUGAUGCCAUCACAAUGCGUAAUGACGCGAUAUGGCUGAUCUUGCGCUCUUAGACGUGGCACAUAGAAGGAUUCGCGCUGUAGUGCAGCGCACCAUCGGCCUGUUUAAGGGCAGAUGGCGCUGCCUCGACUGCACUGGAGGGAGGUUAUUGUUUAUUCCUGAAAAGGUGUGCAACAUCGUGCUGGCAUGUGCUACAUAAUGUGGCACGGCGUUCCAAACGUGCCUCGACCCCCACUGACGCCGAUGGCUGUGUUGGCCCAGACCCUGUCCCCGAUCCCCAAUCAUUGCCACCAGUCUCUCAUCAGGAGGGGAGAGCUCCGGUGUCCCCUUCUCCCCACCAUGUCAGACCAUUUUUUCUUUAUUUCGGCCACGGUCCGAGGUUGUGUAACCUUUUGCCACUCAAGUGCCUUUUUGGCAUUAGUAAUGCCCAUACUGUGCCCCCAAAAAAGCAUUUUACUUCUCCUUUCCACCUCACCAAUGAUAAUUUCGACUUCACACUGAGAAGUUACGUUUCUUCGUUUUCCUUUCAGUGUUUGCCAUGAUUUCGCAAUCGAUGAAAAUUAAUUUGUGGGCGUUCCACAGACUAUAUAUGGGCAACUAUGGGCGUGACAUGAAGCCGCAAAAGCUGCGCUGCAUUUAGAAUUGAUUGUGAUUUAUUAAAGUCUGAAUAUUUCUGUGCGUACGCACGUCCUACGUUUCAUCGGUACGCCACUUCUGGCGCAAAUCCUAC
ensembl:lncRNA